GAUUGGUCGAUGUUAUGUAAUGCCCUUUCGUAUGGUGGAUCCUCCAGUUUCGCUAUCAUUAGUGAGAAGAUUCGUUGGAAUUGUAGGAUGCAAGUUUAUUCUUAGUCUUUUAAUCAUACAAUUGAACUAAAACAAGAGUAAUUGUAUCAUUCGAAACAGUGCGCCACGAUGUUCGAAUACAGUCUGAAAAAAUAUAAUUACAAUUCUCAGACCGAAGGAAAGGAGCCCUUUCAGAAAUUGAUAGGACUAGGAAAAUAUGCUCAUUUAGGUGCUGCCUUCACAUCCGCAUACGAGAUUUGCAUGAUACGACGACCACCAAACUUACGAAUGGGCCUUAUUCAGGGUGGAAAACACUUCCUCGUUUGGUUGGGUGCGUCUGCAACGUUUACAACCGCAGUACUGUGUUUAACAAAUAUCAGAAAAAAGGAUGAUCCAUGGAAUUAUUUUUUUGGCAGUAGCAUUAGCUAGCGGAGCUUUUACUUAUUCUUUCAUUCAAAGAGGCCAUUUCGUAUUCUUUGUGACUAUGUAUGCAGCCAUCGGAGCAGCGAUAUUUAAAUAUAAGCUUAUGCAGGGUUAUAAACCAUUAGAAUACGACUUUAAAUUUCGUAUGUCAUCGUUUUACCUUAAUUUUGAUAAAACACCCGAUGUAAGGUACGAGAAACCAUAAUUAUUUAUUCGUACAAUGAAAAGUUAUUGCGUUACAAUAAUUAAAAAAAAUGCGUUUGACUGGCCCAUAAGAUCAGUGUUUUAAGUAAUAUUUAUGGGGAUAUAUAUACAUAUAUAUAUACACACACACACAUAUAUAUAUAUAUAUAUAUAUAUGUAUAUAUGUAUAUAUGUAUAUAUGUAUGUAUGUAUUAUUUGAAGUAGUAAAAUUCUGUAAAUUCUCCACGCGUAUCCUUGUGCAUAAAUGUACACCGUAGGCGUGAGAUCCAUAAUAAAAGAUAUCGACAAUGGA